rnacentral:rRNA from 1 species
UACGAAGGGGGCUAGCGUUGUUCGGAAUUACUGGGCGUAAAGCGCACGUAGGCGGAUACUUAAGUUAGGGGUGAAAUCCCAAGGCUCAACCUUGGAACUGCCUUUAAUACUGGGUAUCUCGAGUCCGGAAGAGGUGAGUGGAAUUCCGAGUGUAGAGGUGAAAUUCGUAGAUAUUCGGAGGAACACCAGUGGCGAAGGCGGCUCACUGGUCCGGUACUGACGCUGAGGUGCGAAAGCGUGGGGAGCAAACAGGAUUAGAAACCCGAGUAGUCC